rnacentral:rRNA from 1 species
CCAGAGAACUUAGCAGAGAUGCUUUGGUGGCCCUCGGGAACUCUGAGACAGGUGCUGCAUGGCUGUCGUCAGCUCGUGUUGUGAAAUGUUGGGUUAAGUCCCGCAACGAGCGCAACCCUUAUCCUUUGUUGCCAGCGGCUCGGCCGGGAACUCAAAGGAGACUGCCGGUGAUAAACCGGAGGAAGGUGGGGAUGACGUCAAGUCAUCAUGGCCCUUACGGCCAGGGCUACACACGUGCUACAAUGGCGCAUACAAAGAGAAGCGACCUCGCGAGAGCAAGCGGACCUCAUAAAGUGCGUCGUAGUCCGGAUUGGAGUCUGCAACUCGACUCCAUGAAGUCGGAAUCGCUAGUAAUCGUAGAUCAGAAUGCUACGGUGAAUACGUUCCCGGGCCUUGUACACACCGCCCGUCACACCAUGGGAGUGGGUUGCAAAAGAAGUAGGUAGCUUAACCUUCGGGAGGGCGCUUACCACUUUGUGAUUCAUGACUGGGGUGAAGUCGUAACAAGGUAAGCGUAGCGAG